AUUGGCCAAGAAGUUGUUGAACAUUUGCCUCCGCCCGCGCACCAACGUCCUUGCGAGCACGGGCCACCGACCGCGACUGCCUGCUCGAAGCUAUGGUUACUUGAAACUUAACAGUUCACGCGACCGGAAAGCACCGUGGUGUCGAAAUUCCUAAGUGACAGUACGAAGUAUAACGGAAUGGUGCGCGUGGGCAGCCGUUUGAGGUUCGAACAUGCCACUGCGACAAUAUGCACGCGGAAAAAGUACGGAUAACAUGUAAUUUUUUUACAGAAUAUUGUUUUUGGGCGCAGAAGAAUAUAUAUUGUGAUUAAGGAAUAAAAGUGUGUAAACAUUCAGAUCUCGUUAAACUGAUUUUUGAAA